UCCCCGAUAGUCUAGUGGUGAGGAUAUCUGCUUGUCACUGCAUUGCAGCAACUCCGCAGGGGACCGGGGUUCAAUUCCCCGUCGAGGAG
rnacentral:tRNA from 1 species